AGGGCGUACGGUGGAUGCCUAGGCUCUUACAGGCGAUGAAGGACGUGAUAAGCUGCGAAAAGCCGCGGUGAGGCGCAAAUGGCCCUUGACCCGCGGAUCUCCGAAUGGGACAACCCAAUAUCUUGAAGAGAUAUUAUCCCGCCGGUGCGGGAGGCGAACGCGGGGAACUGAAACAUCUUAGUACCCGCAGGAAAAGAAAAUAAAGAAUGAUUCCCCCAGUAGUGGCGAGCGACCGGGGAAGAGCCCAAACCGACGUUGUCUCGGCAUCGUCGGGGUUGUAGGACCGCGCCAUCGCAAGAAAGGCCGUGAGUGGAAGCGACUGGAAAGCCGCGCCAUAGAGGGUGACAGCCCCUUACACGAAGCAGCCUGAAGCGUAGCGGACUCCUGAGUAGCGCGGGACACGAGUAAUCCUGUGUGAAUCCGCCGGGCCCAUCCGGCAAGGCUAAAUACUCGUAAGAGACCGAUAGUGAACCAGUACCGUGAGGGAAAGGUGAAAAGGACCCCUUGCAGGGGAGUGAAAGAGUUCCUGAAACCGUACGCCUACAAGCGGUCGGAGCAUCUUGAAUGAUGUGACGGCGUGCCUUUUGCAUAAUGAACCUACGAGUUGCCGUCACCAGCGAGGUUAAGUGCGACGACGCACCGAGCCGCAGCGGAAGCGAGUCUUAAAAGGGCGCGAUAGUUGGUGGAGGCAGACGCGAAACCGAGUGAUCUACACUUGUCCAGGAUGAAGUCCCGGUAACACGGGAUGGAGGUCCGCACCAAUAAGCGUUGAAAAGCUUCUGGAUGAGGUGAGUGUAGGAGUGAAAGGCCAAUCAAACUCGGAGAUAGCUCGUACUCCCCGAAAGGCAUUUAGGUGCCGCCUGUGGCGUUCCCGACGUGAGGUAGAGCGACUGAUUGGAUGCGAGGGCUUCACCGCCUAUCAAGUCCUGACAAACUCCGAAUGCACGUCGGCCAAGCCAUGGAGUAAGGGCAUGGGUGCUAAGGUCCGUGCCCGAGAGGAGAAGAAUCCAGACCACCGGCUAAGGUCCCGAAAUACUGGUUAAGUUAGACUAACGCAGUCCGGCCCCCAAGACAGCUAGGAUGUUGGCUUGGAAGCAGCCAUUCAUUCAAAGAGUGCGUAACAGCUCACUAGUCGAGGAGCUGGGCGUGGAUAAUAAUCGGGUAUAAAACCAGUUACCGAAGCCGUGGGAUGCUCAAGCAUCGGUAGGGGAGCAUUGCAUGCGGCUUGGAAGGCGGGGCGCGAGCCCCUCUGGAGCGCAUGGAAACGCAAAUGUAGGUAUAAGUAACGACAAGGGGGGUGGGAUGCCCCCCCGCCGAAAGACCAAGGUUUCCUGAACAACGCUAAUCGGUUCAGGGUCAGUCGGGUCCUAAGCAUAAGCCGUAUGGCGAGGGCGAUGGAUGAAACGGUUAAUAUUCCGUUACUGUCUUGGUGUGUGACGCGGCGACGGAGUAGUGACACGGCCGCCUCCUGACGGAAAAGGGGGUUGAAGCGCAAAGGUGUCGAGGAAGGCAGGCAAAUCCACCUUCCGAGCCGAAGCGCGAUAGUACGCCGGGCCCUUUGGGGCAAGGCGAUAGUGCCGGUAAUCAGACUUCCAAGAAAACCCGCUAAACUUCAGCACCAAGUCACCCGUACUCCAAACGGACACACGUGGUCGGGUAGAAUAUACUAAGGCGCUUGGGAGAUUCACGGUUAAGGAACUAGGCAAAUUGACCCCGUACCUUCGGAAUAAGGGGUCCUCGCUUUUGCGAGGCGCAGAGAAUAGGUCCAGGCAACUGUUUAACAAAAACACAGGGCUGUGCAAAAUUGAAAGAUGACGUAUACAGCCUGACACCUGCCCGGUGCUGGAAGGUUAAGAGGAGAUGUCAUCGCAAGAGAAGCAUUGAAUUGAAGCCCCAGUAAACGGCGGCCGUAACUAUAACGGUCCUAAGGUAGCGAAAUUCCUUGUCGGGUAAGUUCCGACCUGCACGAAUGGUGUAAUGAUCUGGACGCUGUCUCAACCGUGAGCUCAGUGAAAUUGUAGUAUCGGUGAAGAUGCCGAUUACCCGCGAUGGGACGAAAAGACCCCGUGAACCUUUACUAUAGCUUAACAUUGAAUUUGGGUAAUUGAUGUGUAGGAUAGGCCGGAGACUUUGAAGCGGGUACGCCAGUAUCUGUGGAGUCGCUGUUGAAAUACGGCCCUUUGAUUAUUUGAGUUCUAACUCGUUGUUACGAGGACACUGUUUGGUGGGUAGUUUGACUGGGGUGGUCGCCUCCAAAAGUGUAACGGAGGCUUCU
rnacentral:rRNA from 1 species